AGCGAACGCUGGCGGCAGGCCUAACACAUGCAAGUCGAACGGACCCUUCGGGGUUAGUGGCGGACGGGUGAGUGACACGUGGGAACGUGCCCUUUGGUUCGGAACAACUCAGGGAAACUUGAGCUAAUACCGAAUGUGCCCUUCGGGGGAAAGAUUUAUCGCCAUUGGAGCGGCCCGCGUCUGAUUAGCUAGUUGGGGGGGUAAUGGCCUACCAAGGCGACGAUCAGUAGCUGGUCUGAGAGGAUGAUCAGCCACAUUGGGACGGAGACACGGCCCAAGCUCCUACGGGAGGAAGCAGUGGGGAAUCUUGCGAAAUGGGCGAAAGCCUGACGCAGCCAUGCCGCGUGAAUGAUGAAGGUCUUAGGAUUGUAAAAUUCUUUCACCGGGGACGAUAAUGACGGUACCCGGAGAAGAAGCCCCGGCUAACUUCGUGCCAGCAGCCGCCGUAACAC
rnacentral:rRNA from 1 species